UCGGAUGGAGGGAAAGCAGCUCUACGUCUGAUGUGACUAGUGGUAGCGUACUCUCUGCUGAGCAGCAUGUGGUCUCCGAAGACACACAACAUGUUGACGGGAUUCUUCACGGUACAUAAUACUGUUGCAGGACAAUCAUCUCCAACACAGAGGCAACAGCGCAGCUUUUACAUGAGAGUGACAGGGAUGUAGACUACAACAGCAUCAAUAUAAUCACAUUACAUAGCCAUUAAACAUGAUCUGAAAUACAACAAAUAGAAGACCGAGAGCUACAAACAGAAAAGAGCCCUGAUGUAGUUCCUGGCUUUGGAGGCCCAGCACAAGGUUGCUCCUCAUGUCACCACAGAGGACAUGAAGCAUUGGUUUACCUCACAAGUGAGGGAAGCCUUCAUUGACAGGUGACCGUAAAUUGCCCCAGAAAUAAGGGAGGAGUCCUCCGCCAUGUUUGGAGAGCAGUGAAGCGACUCACCUGUGGCUGCUGCCGACAUGCUAGAGCUUGACCAAGCCGGGACUAAAAUACAUAGCCUAGACAAGUAGUCAUUGUUAUAUGAUCAUGUGCAAGGCCUACCUUUUCAAAAUCAGUUAUUUCAUU